rfam:Monodelphis domestica chromosome 8, whole genome shotgun sequence.
UAGCCAUCAGAACCAGUGCGUUUCUAUGGUUU